rnacentral:rRNA from 1 species
AACGAACGCUGGCGGCAGGCCUAAUACAUGCAAGUCGAGCGCUCUAGCAAUAGGGAGCGGCGCAUGGGUGCGUAACGCGUGGGAAUAUGCCUUUAGGUACGGAACAACCAAGGGAAACUUUGGCUAAUACCGUAUAAUAUCUUCGGAUCAAAGAUUCAUCGCCUAAAGAUUAGCCCGCGUCUGAUUGGCUAGUUGGUGGGGUAAAGGCCUACCAAGGCGACGAUCAGUAGCUGGUCUGAGAGGAUGAUCAGCCACACUGGAACCGAGACACGGCCCAGACUCCUACGGGAGGCAGCAGUGGGGAAUUUUGGACAAUGGGCGCAAGCCUGAUCCAGCAAUGCCGCGUGCAGGAAGAAGGCCUUCGGGUUGUAAAGCUCUGUUCUUAGGGAAUAAAAAAAUGAAGGUACCUAAGGAGAAAGGACCGGCUAACUUCGUGCCAGCCGCCGCAGUAA